rnacentral:rRNA from 1 species
CAGUCGCCACGGGAAUACGUAGGUGGCAAGCGUUGUCCGGAAUUAUUGGGCGUAAAGGGCUCGCAGGCGGUUUCUUAAGUCUGAUGUGAAAGCCCCCGGCUCAACCGGGGAGGGUCAUUGGAAACUGGGAAACUUGAGUGCAGAAGAGGAGAGUGGAAUUCCACGUGUAGCGGUGAAAUGCGUAGAGAUGUGGAGGAACACCAGUGGCGAAGGCGACUCUCUGGUCUGUAACUGACGCUGAGGAGCGAAAGCGUGGGGAGCGAACAGGAUUAGAGACCCCAGUAGUCCCUGUCUCUUAUAA